UACGUAGGGUGCAAGCGUUUGUCCGGAAUUAUUGGGCGUAAAGAGCUCGUAGGCGGCCUGUCGCGUCGGCUGUGAAAACUCAGGGCUCAACCCUGAGCCUGCAGUCGAUACGGGCAGGCUAGAGUCCGGCAGGGGAGACUGGAAUUCCUGGUGGUAGCGGUGAAAUGCGCAGAUAUCAGGUGGAACACCGAUGGCGAAGGCAGCACUCUGGCCGAAUAACUGACGUGAGGCGCGAAAGCGUGGGGAGCGAACGGG
rnacentral:rRNA from 1 species